GACGAACGCUGGCGGCGUGCCUAAUACAUGCAAGUAGAACGCACAGUUUAUACCGUAGCUUGCCACACCAUAGACUGUGAGUUGCGAACGGGUGAGUAACGCGUAGGUAACCUGCCUGGUAGCGGGGGAUAACUAUUGGAAACGAUAGCUAAUACCGCAUAAUAUUGAUUAUUGCAUGAUAAUUGAUUGAAAGAUGCUAUUGCAUCACUACCAGAUGGACCUGCGUUGUAUUAGCUAGUAGGUGAGGUAACGGCUCACCUAGGCGACGAUACAUAGCCGACCUGAGAGGGUGAUCGGCCACACUGGGACUGAGACACGGCCCAGACUCCUACGGGAGGCAGCAGUAGGGAAUCUUCGGCAAUGGACGAAAGUCUGACCGAGCAACGCCGCGUGAGUGAAGAAGGUUUUCGGAUCGUAAAGCUCUGUUGUAAGAGAAGAACGGGUGUGAGAGUGGAAAGUUCACACUGUGACGGUAUCUUACCAGAAAGGGACGGCUAACUACGUG
rnacentral:rRNA from 1 species